rnacentral:rRNA from 1 species
AAAGCUUGCUUUUGUAAGUYAGCGGCGGACGGGUGAGUAACACGUGGGCAACCUGCCCUUGAGACUGGGAUAANWUCGGGAAACCGGAGCUAAUACCGGAUAAUAUAAGGAACCUCCUGGUUCCUUAUUGAAAGAUGGUUUCGGCUAUCACUUAAGGAUGGGCCCGCGGCGCAUUAGCUAGUUGGUGAGGUAACGGCUCACCAAGGCGACGAUGCGUAGCCGACCUGAGAGGGUGANNNNCCACACUGGGACUGAGACACGNNNNANACUCMUACGGGAGGCAGCAGUAGGGAAUCUUCCACAAUGGACGAAAGUCUGAUGGAGCAACGCCGCGKGNGKGAUGAAGGCCUUCGGGUCGUAAAGCUCUGUUGUUAGGGAAGAACAAGUGCGAGAGUAACUGCUCGCACCUUGACGGUACCUAACCAGAAAGCCACGGCUAACUACGUGCCAGCAGCCGCGGUAAUACGUAGGUGGCAAGCGUUAUCCGGAAUUAUUGGGCGUAAAGCGCGCGCAGGUGKUUUCUUAAGUCUGAUGUGAAAGCCCACGGCUCAACCGUGGAGGGUCAUUGGAAACUGGGGAACUUGAGUGCARAARAGGAAAGUGGAAUUCCAAGUGUAGCGGUGAAAUGCGUAGAGAUUUGGAGGAACACCAGUGGCGAAGGCGACUUUCUGGUCUGUAACUGACACUGAGGCGCGAAAGCGKGGGGAGCAAAMAGGAUUAGAUACCCUGGUAGYCCMCGCCGUAAACGAUGAGUGCUAAGUGUUAGAGGGUUUCCGCCCUUUAGKGSUGCAGCUAA